UACGUAGGGUGCGAGCGUUAAUCGGAAUUACUGGGCGUAAAGCGUGCGCAGGCGGUUCGUUAAGUUCGUUGUGAAAGCCCCGGGCUCAACCUGGGAACUGCAAUGGAAACUGGCGGGCUUGAGUAUGGCAGAGGGGGGUGGAAUUCCGCGUGUAGCAGUGAAAUGCGUAGAGAUGCGGAGGAACACCGAUGGCGAAGGCAGCCCCCUGGGCCAACACUGACGCUCAGGCACGAAAGCGUGGGGAGCAAACAGG
rnacentral:rRNA from 1 species